rnacentral:rRNA from 1 species
UACGAAGGGGGGCUAGCGUUGCUCGGAAUCACUGGGCGUAAAGCGCACGUAGGCGGCUUGUUAAGUCAGGGGUGAAAUCCUGGAGCUCAACUCCAGAACUGCCUUUGAUACUGGCGAGCUUGAGUCCGGGAGAGGUGAGUGGAACUGCGAGUGUAGAGGUGAAAUUCGUAGAUAUUCGCAAGAACACCAGUGGCGAAGGCGGCUCACUGGCCCGAUACUGACGCUGAGGCGCGAAAGCGUGGGGAGCAAACAGG